rnacentral:rRNA from 1 species
UCUCAAAGAUUAAGCCAUGCAUGUCUAAGUACAUGCCGUAUUAAGGCGAAACCGCGAAUGGCUCAUUAAAUCAGUUACGGUUCCUUAGAUGUUGACUAUCUACAUGGAUAACUGUGGUAAUUCUAGAGCUAAUACAUGCACAAAAGCUUCGACCUUACCGGAAGGAGCGCAUUUAUUAGAACAAGACCAAUGGGGUGGUUUACCUUCGGGUGGCUGCCCUUUUAUAUUGGUGACUCUGAAUAACUUAAGCUAAUCGCAUGGCCAACCGUGCCGGCGAUGAAUCUUUCAAGUGUCUGCCUUAUCAACUGUCGAUGGUAGGUUAUGCGCCUACCAUGGUUGUAACGGGUAACGGGGAAUCAGGGUUCGAUUCCGGAGAGGGAGCCUGAGAAACGGCUACCACAUCCAAGGAAGGCAGCAGGCACGCAAAUUACCCACUCCCAGAACGGGGAGGUAGUGACGAAAAAUAACAAUGCAGAACUCUAAUGAGGCUCUGCAAUUGGAAUGAGAACAAUCUAAAUCCUUUAACGAGGAUCUAUUGGAGGGCAAGUCUGGUGCCAGCAGCCGCGGUAAUUCCAGCUCCAAUAGCGUAUAUUAAAGUUGUUGCGGUUAAAAAGCUCGUAGUUGGAUCUCAGUUCAGUUGCCAGGCGGUCCACUUGCCAGUGGUUACUUCUUGGCUGAACACUUUACCGAGCUGUCCCUUGGUGCUCUUUGCCGAGUGUCUUGGGCGAUCGGUACGUUUACUUUGAAAAAAUUAGAGUGCUCAAAGCAGGCCAUAUGCGCCCGAAUAAUGUUGCAUGGAAUAAUGGAAUAGGACCUCGGUUCUAUUUUGUUGGUCUUCGGAAUCCCGAGGUAAUGAUUAAGAGGGACAGACGGGGGCAUUCGUAUUGCGGCGCUAGAGGUGAAAUUCUUGGACCGUCGCAAGACGAACUAAAGCGAAAGCAUUUGCCAAGAAUGUUUUCAUUAAUCAAGAACGAAAGUUAGAGGUUCGAAGGCGAUCAGAUACCGCCCUAGUUCUAACCAUAAACGAUGCCAACCAGCGAUCCGCCUGAGUUCCCAUAAUGACUCGGCGGGCAGCUUCCGGGAAACCAAAGUUUUUCGGUUCCGGGGGAAGUAUGGUUGCAAAGCUGAAACUUAAAGGAAUUGACGGAAGGGCACCACCAGGAGUGGAGCCUGCGGCUUAAUUUGACUCAACACGGGAAAACUUACCCGGCCCGGACACUGGAAGGAUUGACAGAUUGAGAGCUCUUUCUUGAUUCAGUGGGUGGUGGUGCAUGGCCGUUCUUAGUUGGUGGAGCGAUUUGUCUGGUUAAUUCCGAUAACGAACGAGACUCUAGCCUACUAAAUAGACCAGUGGCUUCCUAAAAACGCCACUGGGAGCUUCUUAGAGGGACAGGCGGUGAUUCAACCGCACGAAACAGAGCAAUAACAGGUCUGUGAUGCCCUUAGAUGUCCGGGGCCGCACGCGCGCUACACUGAAGUGAUCAGCGUGCUUUAAUUUCCCUGCUCUGCCAAGAGUGGGAAACCCAAUGAACCUACUUCGUGAUUGGGAUAAAGGAUUGUAAUUAUUCCUUUUGAACGAGGAAUUCCCAGUAAGCGCGAGUCAUAAGCUCGCGUUGAUUACGUCCCUGCCCUUUGUACACACCGCCCGUCGCUACUACCGAUUGAAUGAUUUAGUGAGGUCUUCGGACUGGCCGGCGCAGCUGCCUUCGUGGUGGCCGCGCUGUGUUUGGAAAGAUGCCCAAACUUGAUCAUUUAGAGGAAGUAAAAGUCGUAA